AGCCCUAAGUGGGUGGUAAACUCCAUCUAAGGCUAAAUAUGACCACGAGACCGAUAGCGAACAAGUACCGUGAGGGAAAGUUGAAAAGCACUUUGAAGAGAGAGUUCAACAGUACGUGAAACCGUUUAGGGGUAAACCUGAGAAACCCGAAAGGUCGAAGGGAGAAAUUCAUCGCGUUUCGACGCAGGCGUCGGGCGGUCGAGUGACGAGAAUCGUGUUCGCGCGUUUCCCGCACCUUCCGCACGUCGAACCGGCUGCGAACGCGUGCACUUUUCUUCUGGUAGGACGUCGCGAUCCGUUGGGUGUCAGUCUACGGCUCGCGGUGGAGCCCGUCCGUAUCCGUACGGACGGACCCGCGUGUGUCCCGGCUGACUAGCUCGACGGUAUGCGAGAGGUUUAAGGCCGCUCUAGGAGCGUCCGGCUCGUGGCAAGCGCGCCAGAUGCGUCGGCGAUCGGACCCGGUGCCGAUUCUGACCUCUGGUGACUGUUGGCUACGAAGUUCUCGGACAGACCUUUGACCGAUCUGCGACGCUAUAGCUUUGGGUACUUUCAGGACCCGUCUUGAAACACG
rnacentral:rRNA from 1 species